UAGGGAAUCUUCGGCAAUGGGGGGAACCCUGACCGAGCAACGCCGCGUGAGUGAAGAAGGUUUUCGGAUCGUAAAGCUCUGUUGUUAAGGAAGAACGAGUGUGAGAAUGGAAAGUUCAUGCUGUGACGGUACUUAACCAGAAAGGGACGGCUAACUACGUGCCAGCAGCCGCGGUAAUACGUAGGUCCCGAGCGUUGUUCGGAUUUCUUGGGCAUAAAGCGGGCGCAGGCGGUUAGAAAAGUCUGAAGUGAAAGGCAGUGGCUCAACCACUGUAGGCAUUGGAAACUGUUUAACUUGAAUGCAGAAGGGGAGAGUGAAAUUCCAUGUGUAGCGGUGAAAUGCGUAGCUAUAUGGAGGAACAACGGUGGCGAAAGCGGCUAUCUGGUCUGUAUCUGACGCUGAGGCUCGAAAGAGUGGGGAGCGAACAGG
rnacentral:rRNA from 1 species